AACACUUAAGUAUACAGGAUACCAUUUUCAUGGCUCAGAAAACUCAAUAUUCUGAGGUCAGUUUUCCCUAAUUUGAUCCAGAGAUUCAGUGCAAUUCUAAUCGAAGUCUCUGCAGGCUGUUUGUUUGUAGAUAUUGACAAGCUGAUGAAGAGUUGUAAGCAGCACUCUGAGAACCCUAGAUCUGGAAACGUGAGGGUUGAUUGGCUGAUGAACAAAUUUUGCUUUCUCUCAACGUACUUGGUGUUUCCUGCACACUCGCAGAUCACACCGCACCCACAGAUGAACUUGGGCCAGAGCAACCCUGGCCCCUUGAGAGCAGACACUGGAACCAGUGAACCCAUCACUUGAGAGGUUUUUUUUUUUUUUACCCUGCCCCGGCUCUACAGCUGGAGGGAUUUGGGCCAGACCAGCUCCUCCCCAAAGCCGGCCCUUCUGCGGACCAGGUGAGCGUCAGUGCACCAGAGCGCAAAAGGACUGCAAUCCCCAGGAUGCUCCGCGGCGUUUCCGCCUACACGCGGUUGCCUAGGCGAGCAGCCUCUGACUUGGAAAGAAGUUGGUUCGCUGGGGUUGAUUUAGCUGCGGUCUUGGUGAGAAGGCGGCAGGCUUGGAUCCCGCGGGGAAAGGCUUUGGUAGAGCCCGUCGGAGCAGCUGGGGAGAGACUCCCGCCCAGAUGGGCUCCAAACCGGAACUCCAGAGGGCCCUUCUGAUGUCCCUCAGUCCUCUCCUGACCUUGAGGAUGCCUGUCCCAUUUCAGAGGCGAAGCCACUGAGUCUGAGUCUCGCCGUCUUGGAACAGCUGCCGCGUGUCUGCUUAUCUGGUUCAUGCUUUCUAAUUUUCAGGAAACGCUUAUGGUCUGAGCUAGGACUUCCAGGAAAGUGAAAGAGCAGGAAGAACUGAUGGAAAAUCCACAUGGGGAAAUGCACAAAGGUGAGGAUCCUGAACAGAAGAUUUAAAACACCUCCAGGAUCCAGUGUUUACCAAAUACUCUUUAGGAGCCACACUUAAAACAGGAAUGAGCUGGUCCCACUGGGCCACAUGAUGGACCCAGAGGAGAGUGCUCAUACAGACAUCCCCUGCCUCCUCCACAGCAAGGCAGACUGGCCCACCACAGAAACCCAAUCCACAAUGAACACAGGUGACACUCAGUGAGCUCAGAGACCCUUUACUACCUAAGGCAGGAUCCUAGCCCCAAGAGAAAAAAAAAGUCAAGAUGAAGGAUAAAGAGGAGCUGGAAAAGAAACUUCCAGAGGUUGACAGAUUUUCAAACUCAUUGAAGAUAAUGUGCCCUCUGUGACCAACAUGCCUUGGGACUGGCAUGGGACAGAUAUCAGGAACGGGAGCUAGACUAGACCCAGAGCUGAACCAAGAGAGAAAAGAGGAAAUUGGUGGUCUAGCUCCUUUGAGAAGCACAACGUGGACAAGAAACCCAUGGAAAAGGGUCCAUGGUCUGCCAGGGAGUUGAACAAUUCCAUCCAAAAAAAGUUUGCUGGGUCUUCUGGCUGGGAAGAUGUUGGGGGAGAGGAUCAAGAGGAGUGGCCCCUGGUUGACCCUCCACCAGUACCUGGGCAGUCAAAGCCUUCUCACCUCCUCCCUUGUCCUUGGAAUGUACACCCUGCUUAGUGUCUCCACUGUGGGAGCUGUUCCAAGGACAUAACUUUUGAGAGUAUAAGGUGUUGAGAACAAUUAAAUGGCAUACAAGACUGAACCAAGUUAAAACCUCUCUAUAAACUUUAAACAUUUGUCAGGUGGGUGCAGAGAUCUACUUGUUUUGUGGCCACCUAAAACAAGCCUCUCAUAUAUGUUCCCUUGUUUAUUAAACCUGCUACCUACUA